GACUGGAGUCUGCAACCCGACUCCACGAAGUUGGAUUCGCUAGUAAUCGCGCAUCAGCCAUGGCGCGGUGAAUACGUUCCCGGGCCUUGUACACACCGCCCGUCAAGCCAUGGGAGCCGGGGGCGCCUGAAGUCCGGGACCGCGAGGACCGGCCUAGGGCGAAACUGGUGACUGGGGCUAAGUCGUAACAAGGUAGC
rnacentral:rRNA from 1 species